CACGAUCAACGACCGCCGCCGCCGCCGUUUUCCCUGUUGAACUCCCUGGAAAAGGACUCAAUUAUCUCAAGCGCAGCGGUCAAAUGUUGCAUCCGCCCUGAAAAUAUUCAAGAUAUAUAUCCCUGCACGCCCCUGCAAGAGGCUCUCAUCGCAUACACGGCAAGGACGCCCGGCUCACUUCAAUGUAGUUUUCGUUUCCAAUUGCCAAGGGACCUUGACGUGGUUCUGUUUAAAAAGGCAUGGGCAGAAGUGUGCAACGCAAAUCCUAUUUUACGCACCAGAAUUAUCAUGGCAGAUUCACUCCAAGCAUUUCAAGUUGUUAGUUUCGGAGUGGAGCCACAGUGUCAAUCAAGUGAAAAUGAAUCGGAAUUUCCAGAAACACUCAUGUCGUUCGGGACCCCGCUAGUUUCAAGUUCGAUCGUCGAUAAAGGGAAUGAGAUCGAGCCAUUGACCUUCAUCCUCACAAUUCAUCAUGCCCUAUUUGAC
rnacentral:sRNA from 1 species